rnacentral:rRNA from 1 species
CAGCAGCCGCGGUAAUACCGGCGGCCCGAGUGGCGGUCACUAUUAUUGGGCUUAAAGCGUCCGUAGCCGGGUUGGGAAGUCCUCCGGGAAAUCUGGCCGCUUAACGGUCAGAAUGCCGGAGGAUACUCCCAGCCUAGGGAGCGGGAGAGGCCGAGGGGAUUCCCGGAGUAGGGGUGAAAUCCUAUAAUCCCGGGAGGACCACCUGUGGCGAAGGCGCUCGGCUGGAACGCGUCCGACGGUGAGGGACGAAGGCCAGGGGAGCAAACCGGAUUAGAUACCCGGGUAGUCCUGGCGGUAAACGAUGCGGACUUUGUGUCGGACAAGCUAUGAGCUUGUCCGGUGCCGGAGGGAAACCGUUAAGUCCGCCGCCUGGGGAGUACGGCCGCAAGGCUGAAACUUAAAGGAAUUGGAGGG